rnacentral:ribozyme from 1 species
AAAGAAACCAAGAAAGAAAGAAAGAAAGAGAGAAAGCGGGUUAUACUAUAUGCCAUUGGUUUGUUCAAACUACUGUCUGUACUCUCAAUACUGCUUUUCUUUGAUUUUCUGUAGUCAUUGUCCUCUCCUACUAAUGAAUUUCCCUAUGAAAAUUGGA